rnacentral:rRNA from 1 species
AGUGGACGCUGGCGGUAGGCCUAACACAUGCAAGUCGAACGGCAGCACAGUAAGAGCUUGCUCUUACGGGUGGCGAGUGGCGGACGGGUGAGGAAUACAUCGGAAUCUACUUUUUCGUGGGGGAUAACGUAGGGAAACUUACGCUAAUACCGCAUACGACCUACGGGUGAAAGCAGGGGAUCUUCGGACCUUGCGCGAUUGAAUGAGCCGAUGUCGGAUUAGCUAGUUGGCGGGGUAAAGGCCCACCAAGGCGACGAUCCGUAGCUGGUCUGAGAGGAUGAUCAGCCACACUGGAACUGAGACACGGUCCAGACUCCUACGGGAGGCAGCAGUGGGGAACAUUGGACAAUGGGCGCAAGCCUGAUCCAGCCAUACCGCGUGGGUGAAGAAGGCCUUCGGGUUGUAAAGCCCUUUUGUUGGGAAAGAAAAGCAGCAGGUUAAUACCCCGCUGUUCUGACGGUACCCAAAGAAUAAGCACCGGCUAACUUCGUG